ensembl:lncRNA
CAGCGGGUAGGUCUCAGGCGCUUGCGAUUGGCUCGUCGGUCUGUCAGUCAACUCAUUAAGCCCCACCCCCUGUUGGCGGACACUUCCGGGACUCCGGCAGCCGAGAGCGGCUCAGUGACACUCACUCUGUGCGCCAGGAAGCGACCACAAGUGAUAAGUAAAAGAAGAAGAAAGAAAAGAAAAGAAGAGUACGAAACGCCUGCCCCCAGGUCCAAUGUCUAAUCCGAAGUACUAAAGGGAAUUCUGGGACGUCAGGCAGACACCAAGCCUGAUGACGUAACUCGAUGACAUCACUACACUAAACCCAAACCAACCCCCCCUUCCCCACACACACACACAACGCUCUGCCUCUGCACCGCUCCGAGUGCAUUUAACGGAAAGAUGUCCGUGUCUGCCGACGUGACACGGGAUCUCCACUCCGAAACAGGAAGUGACAUCCUCGUCAGAUAAGACGAGGGAGUUCGCCUGAACUGUUCUCAGCGUCUGCACACGUUUUUGUGAAGAAUUUUCGUUGCCUUAGAAAUCAUCUGAUCCGCAUAUCGUUUACGUUCGUACACCUCCGUGCCUCAUGAUAUCAGCACCCCCCCCACCCCCAACACUAACGACA